rnacentral:rRNA from 1 species
UACGUAGGGGGCAAGCGUUGUCCGGAAUUAUUGGGCGUAAAGAGCGUGUAGGCGGCCAGGUAGGUCCGUUGUGAAAACUUGAGGCUCAACCUCGAGACGCCGAUGGAAACCAUCUGGCUAGAGUCCGGAAGAGGAGAGUGGAAUUCCCGGUGUAGCGGUGAAAUGCGCAGAUAUCGGGAAGAACACCCGUGGCUAAGGCGGCUCUCUAGUACGGUACUGACGCUGAGACGCGAAAGCGUGGGGAGCGAACAGG